rnacentral:rRNA from 1 species
GGUGUGUACUGUCUGGCUGGGUCUUACCUCUUGGUGAACCAGCAUGCCCUUUACUGGGUGUGUUGGGGAACCAGGACUUUUACCUUGAGAAAAUUAGAGUGCUCAAAGCAGGCCUACGCUUGAAUACAUUAGCAUGGAAUAAUAGAAUAGGACGUGCGGUUCUAUUUUGUUGGUUUCUAGGAUCGCCGUAAUGAUCAAUAGGGACAGUUGGGGGCAUUUGUAUUGCGUUGCUAGAGGUGAAAUUCUUGGAUUGACGCAAGACAAACUAUUGCGAAAGCAUUUGCCAAGGAUGUUUUCAUUAAUCAAGAACGAAGGUUAGGGGAUCGAAAACGAUCAGAUACCGUUGUAGUCUUAACAGUAAACUAUGCCGACUAGGGAUCGGACGACCUCGAAUUUAUGUGUCGUUCGGCACCUUACGAGAAAUCAAAGUCUUUGGGUUCUGGGGGAGAGUAUGGUCGCAAGGCUGAAACUUAAAGGAUUUGACGGAAGGGCACCACCAGGAGUGGAGCUUGCGGCUUAAUUUGACUCAACACGGGGAAACUCGCCAGGCCCAGACAUGGCUAGGAUUGACAGAUUGAUAGCUCUUUCUUGAUUUUAUGGGUGGUGGUGCAUGGCCGUUCUUAGUUGGUGGAGUGAUUUGUCUGGUUAAUUCCGAUAACGAACGAGACCUUAACCUGCUAAAUAGACAGGCCGGCUUUAUGCUGGUCGCAGACUUCUUAGAGGGACUGUCAG